GCUGGUGUGGUGGAAUGGUAUACACACAGGACUUAAAAUCCUGCGGCCUUGACCGGCCUUGUGGGUUCGAGUCCCACCACCAGCACCA
rnacentral:tRNA from 1 species